rnacentral:rRNA from 1 species
GACGAACGCUGGCGGCGUGCUUAACACAUGCAAGUCGAACGGUAAGGCCCUUCGGGGUACACGAGUGGCGAACGGGUGAGUAACACGUGGGUGAUCUGCCCUGCACUUCGGGAUAAGCCUGGGAAACUGGGUCUAAUACCGGAUAGGACCCUGGGAUGCAUGUCCUGGGGGGGAAAGCUUUUGCGGUGUGGGAUGGGCCCGCGGCCUAGCAGCUUGUUGGUGGGGUGAUGGCCUACCAAGGCGACGACGGGUAGCCGGCCUGAGAGGGUGACCGGCCACACUGGGACUGAGAUACGGCCCAGACUCCUACGGGAGGCAGCAGUGGGGAAUAUUGCACAAUGGGCGCAAGCCUGAUGCAGCGACGCCGCGUGAGGGAUGACGGCCUUCGGGUUGUAAACCUCUUUCAGCACCGACGAAGCGCAAGUGACGGUAGGUGCAGAAGAAGGACCGGCCAACUACGUGCCAGCCGCCGCAGUAA